UUUCAUCAAGGAAGACCCCAACAUAAAGACUACCGCUUAACCUGAAUGUGCAAACUAUGAAAGAGUGCUCUUUCAUAGCAAGAAACCUUGAUUUGCUUGGAAUUUACAGCCUGGCUUCUGGAUAAGAUAUGAAUUUUAAUACAUGGAUAUGGUCUAAAUAUGAACUGGAGAACUGGAAAUCUGAUAGUGGAGGCAUGUUCAGUCCCAUAAAGCGUAACCUAUAGAUAAUCA